GAUGAACGCUGGCGGUGUGCCUAAUACAUGCAAGUCGAGCGAACAGACGAGGAGCUUACUCCUCUGACGUUAGCGGCGGACGGGUGAGUAACACGUGGAUAACCUACCUAUAAGACUGGGAUAACUUCGGGAAACCGGAGCUAAUACCGGAUAACAUGUUUAACCGCAUGGUUCAACAGUGAAAGACGGUCUUGCUGUCACUUAUACAUGGAUCCGCGUCGCAUUAGCUAGUUGGUAAGGUAACGGCUUACCAAGGCAACGAUGCGUAGCCGACUUGAUAGGGUGAUCGGCAACACUGGAACUGAGACACGGUCAAGACUCCUACGGGAGGCAGCAGUAGGGAAUCUUCCGCAAUGAGCGAAGGCCUGACGGGGAAACGCGGCGUGAGUGAAGAAGGUCUUCGGAUCGUAAAACUCUGUUAUUAGGGAAGAACAAAUGUGUAAGUAACUAUGCAAGUCUUGACGGUACCUAAUCAGAAAGCCACGGCUAACUACGUG
rnacentral:rRNA from 1 species